rnacentral:rRNA from 1 species
GAGUUUGAUCCUGGCUCAGGACGAACGCUGGCGGCGCGCCUAACACAUGCAAGUCGAACGAGCGAGAGAGAGCUUGCUUUCUCAAGCGAGUGGCGAACGGGUGAGUAACGCGUGAGGAACCUGCCUCAAAGAGGGGGACAACAGUUGGAAACGACUGCUAAUACCGCAUAAGCCCACAGCUCGGCAUCGAGCAGAGGGAAAAGGAGCAAUCCGCUUUGAGAUGGCCUCGCGUCCGAUUAGCUAGUUGGUGAGGUAAUGGCCCACCAAGGCGACGAUCGGUAGCCGGACUGAGAGGUUGAACGGCCACAUUGGGACUGAGACACGGCCCAGACUCCUACGGGAGGCAGCAGUGGGGAAUAUUGCACAAUGGGGGAAACCCUGAUGCAGCGACGCCGCGUGGAGGAAGAAGGUCUUCGGAUUGUAAACUCCUGUUGUUGAGGAAGAUAAUGACGGUACUCAACAAGGAAGUGACGGCUAACUACGUGCCAGCAGCCGCGGUAAAACGUAGGUCACAAGCGUUGUCCGGAAUUACUGGGUGUAAAGGGAGCGCAGGCGGGAAGACAAGUUGGAAGUGAAAUCUAUGGGCUCAACCCAUAAACUGCUUUCAAAACUGUUUUUCUUGAGUAGUGCAGAGGUAGGCGGAAUUCCCGGUGUAGCGGUGGAAUGCGUAGAUAUCGGGAGGAACACCAGUGGCGAAGGCGGCCUACUGGGCACCAACUGACGCUGAGGCUCGAAAGUGUGGGUAGCAAACAGGAUUAGAUACCCUGGUAGUCCACACCGUAAACGAUGAUUACCAGGUGUUGGAGGAUUGACCCCUUCAGUGCCGCAGUUAACACAAUAAGUAAUCCACCUGGGGAGUACGACCGCAAGGUUGAAACUCAAAGGAAUUGACGGGGGCCCGCACAAGCAGUGGAGUAUGUGGUUUAAUUCGACGCAACGCGAAGAACCUUACCAAGUCUUGACAUCCCUUGACGAACAUAGAAAUAUGUUUUCUCUUCGGAGCAAGGAGACAGGUGGUGCAUGGUUGUCGUCAGCUCGUGUCGUGAGAUGUUGGGUUAAGUCCCGCAACGAGCGCAACCCUUACUGUCAGUUACUACGCAAGAGGACUCUGGCGGGACUGCCGUUGACAAAACGGAGGAAGGUGGGGAUGACGUCAAAUCAUCAUGCCCUUUAUGACUUGGGCUACACACGUACUACAAUGGCGUUAAACAAAGAGAAGCAAGACCGCGAGGUGGAGCAAAACUCAGAAACAACGUCCCAGUUCGGACUGCAGGCUGCAACUCGCCUGCACGAAGUCGGAAUUGCUAGUAAUCGUGGAUCAGCAUGCCACGGUGAAUACGUUCCCGGGCCUUGUACACACCGCCCGUC